rnacentral:rRNA from 1 species
GACGAAUGCUGGCGGCGUGCUUAACACAUGCAAGUCGAGCGGUAAGGCCCUUUCGGGGGUACACGAGCGGCGAACGGGUGAGUAACACGUGGGUGACCUGCCCUCAGCUCUGGGAUAAGCCUGGGAAACUGGGUCUAAUACUGGAUAUGACUCCACGGUGCAUGUCGUGGGGUGGAAAGCCUUGUGCGGCUGAGGAUGGGCCCGCGGCCUAUCAGCUUGUUGGUGGGGUGAUGGCCUACCAAGGCGACGACGGGUAGCCGGCCUGAGAGGGCGACCGGCCACACUGGGACUGAGACACGGCCCAGACUCCUACGGGAGGCAGCAGUGGGGAAUCUUGCGCAAUGGGCGAAAGCCUGACGCAAGCGACGCCGCGUGAGGGAUGACGGCCU